GAUUUACACUUGAGAAGAGAGAGUGAUGCUAUAAUAAUGUCCUAUCAGAACAGAUAACAGGAGAGAAAAGGACCCGUGGGAUGGGAUUUUUCACAGAAUCAUGACUGCAUAAAAUGCACACAAGGGGUUUGGCAAUGGUCACUCGAGGGGCCUCAUGCCAUCACUAGUCAGGGAAGCAUAUUGAGAGAAGGGCUAGCCCAAUCUUAUCAACAAUGGCAGCCAAGUGUUUCAUUUGCACACACAGAGAAAACUGAGAAGCCUUGAGUUGUCUCCAUCCUCCAACUCAGACAAGUCUAAAAGGACUUGAACAAAAUAAGAACACAAAAUGUAGUGAUGGGUUCCACAGCCAACCAGGCAAGUAGGCAAAUAAGCGUGGCAGCUAAUGAUUCCUUAACAUGCAACUAACCAGAUUCAAGUGAAUGGCAUGGCAUUUUGACAACCUUUUUCUUUUUUUUUUUCUUCUGUCCCUUCAUCGCCUAAACUAAGCAAACGGAGGAAAGAUCAGCAUUAUUGCCUUAGCUUCGCAUGCACUUUAAAUUAUUAGUGUGCUCCAACGAGUGAGAGACGUCACCUAACAUCAACAGCCCUGGGGGGAGGCUUGAUAUUUUCUACCAGACAAGUUUUCUAUCAUAGGUAAGGAUCUUCUUAUGCUAAAAUUGGUGAAGUAAAAAAGGGAAAUAGUAUAUAGGAAAGAGAAGGAGAGUGAAGUACAUAUAGUUUUUCUAUGAAUUUAUUUUUUUCUAUAUUUUAUGAGGUAUUUUUACAUCUCCAUUAGGUGAAAUUACCUUGUGAAAAGUGAAAUAAUAAGAGAAUAAUUGAUUUUCCUUUAAGAUAACCUAAAAAGAUGAGUGUUUGAUUGUUGUGUUUUCCUAUAUCAUUUGGAAGAAAGGUUGGUGCUCGCGAGUGAUUAGCAAAAAAUAUUAGGAUCCAUUGAGAAGACAAGUUGGUGACAGAUAAUUAUUGACGAGAAAGGUAUGCACGCACUGAAGAUUCAUGCGUUAGCAUUAGAGAGAGUAGCGUUGUGGGGGUAUAUAACUUUUUAUAAAGUUUCUGAUCCUCAAAGAACAAAAUUAAAAGUAGAAGUUUUAAGAGUGUUUUUGUUGGUUAUGCAUAAAAUUCAAAAGCUUAUAUGCUUGUGGAUUUAAAAACUGAUGUGAUAGUUGAAUUUGUAUAUAUUGAAUUUUAGAUCCUAUUUUAAUAGUAUUUAGUAUAUUCUAUUACAUAAAAAGAGGAUGAGUGCAUGCUCUUAAUAGAAUUUAAAAUUCGUGUUUAAUAUAAUAAAAACAUGUAUAAUUUCACCUAUAUAAAUAUAGAAGUGAUGUCAUUUUCUUACAAGAGUUAGAGUCUACUCUUGUAAAUAUUCAUGAAAAUGAGAUUUUAGCAUAUGAUCAUAAUAAAUAUUAAACAUUUGUAAAUCUCUCUUAGGAGUUUGAAAAGUAUUUUGUGUAUAGCAUCAUCUUUGAUUCUGCAACAAAAAUUUUGAUUGAAUUCACAAACAUCAAUAAUUUUAGUAGAAUUCAAGUUCUAACACUAAUUAGAGGUUUAAAUUAUAAAUUUUUUUUUUGUAAGCAUAAUUAUAUCAAGUGAGAAAAUAAUAAUUACAAACCAGUGAAGAAUUAUUGGUGUAGUUUAUAAAUAAAUAAAGUAUAUAAAAGAUAUUUUAUCCCACGUGGUAAAGAAAUACUCUCUCCUAGGGAAAUUUUAUCCGUUGAGAACUCGGUUGAAAUCCUGCAAGUAUGAUACUUAUGACAGAAAAAAUAAUAGCAGCAAAUCCUCUUAUGAGAUUUGAGGACUGAAUAUACACACGGAGGAGAGAUAAAACUCCGUGCCCAUAUGCGGUCCACCUGGAACAAAAUGUGGAUAAUGGCAGUAUCCAGGUGGCCUGCAUGUCAUCCAGAAACCCUUGCAAUCCACGUGCAGCUGUGAUCCAUGUCGCAUGCUGGCACUAACAUUACGUACAAUCCCUAUUUAUUUUUAUAUUUUAAAAAUAUUUUUUAUUUUUUUAUUUUAAAUUAAUUUAUUUUUUUAAAAGAAAAAGAUUGUGGGUUAGUGUAAUCACAUGGGUGGCUAGUAUUGCAUGGUCCCUCGUGCUCGCCGUGUCUGUAUGGAGAAGUAGACAGGACUGGUCCUUCAUUGGUUUUUGUAUUUAGCAGAUGCACAUGGAAUAUCAUCUACGGGAAAGUAAGAGUGUAUUGUGACCUGUGGUUUCCUUUGUUAAUUUUGCUCCUUUUAUGAGCUGAAUUGUUAUUUCACAUCCUCCAACUCUUUAUUUCUUUUCGAUUGCAUCCUAAUCUUCUAUUUCAAACAACACUCGACUGUGAUGAUUCUCAAUGCUUCAACAAACACUUCUUGUAAAUAACUUUAUAUACUUUUUUAAAAAAAAUAUUAUAUGUUUUUAUUAAUUUCAUCUCUUUUAUUUUGAGAUCUAUUUAAGUACCUUUACACACACACACACACUAAUUAAGGGAUGAGUUUACUCAUUACAUUAUUAUUUGGAAUUCAAAUUGAAAGGAAAACAUAAAAAUGGAAUCUAUGCAGAACCUGACAAGAAAAGAAUUGAAUUUGAAUAUGCUACAAAACCGAUUCAAUUUCCAAAAAAACCUGAAGUUUAUUGUACGGAAGUCGAGCUCACGAUCUGGGAGUCGUUCCUUCCUCUGUAUUUGUAGGCUCCAUCUCUAGUCAAAACAGAGAUGACGAACAUCGCUGAUGGAAAGACAGGCAGCUAGUGGGAACUAUGUUUGAGCCCACCAGCUCAUCAGAUUCAUCAAAACUUCUUCCAUUUUUUCAACUCCGUGGUGCUCUGCCUCGGAGCUCGUCGCUGCAAGCCAAUUAGAAACGAUUGUGUCAUUCGGCUGUCACGAGAGCAUAUACAUGAGAGAAAUUUAUUAAUCUAUGUUUUUUAUUAUUA